AAUUACCCGCUGACUUCCCAAGAGUUCGAGGAAUCCGACGUUUGACUAACUGCGUGGGUUCCCGUCUCAAAUCCAAAACAAGAAAGUCCACUUCCACCUCAAACUCAAAAUCCUUACUAUUUUGAACUUUUGAUAUCGCGCCGGCAUUUUGAUUCACAAAUCAUCCCCCAAAAAAGCGGUCCACGCGGAUUUUGGUCUUCUCCAAUCCAAUCAAAUUAUAGUUCCAUAUAAAAAAAGAUCGAAGGUAGAAAAAAGAGAGAAAAAGUCGAGCAGAAGAGCUGGAAAGCGUGUAAGAGCGGGCUCGGGCUUGCAAUCGGGGGCGAUCCAUCUUCGAGAGGCGUCACCUCUUGUGAGGAGUUCCGCUUGAAGCAGGGUAUGCAAGCACUAUUGGAACUUGAGGCCUAUACGCUGACAACUAGGGCGUGUAUCUCCUGAGCAAAAGAUCAUUGAUCUGAAGCCAAAAAUUAGACUGUUUGAGGACUGAUGGAAGCCACAAUUAGAUGGCAAAAUAGCCAAAAUUUUGAAAAACUCCAAUCUCAAAAGACUGAACAAACUCUGCCAUGUUCGUCUACAUGUGGAAGAAUGAAUCAGUCCAAUCAUACAGGCAGAUUUAUUCACUUGGCUUAUUUUUUGAUCUAAUUGAUCCUUGUUCAGUUCCAACCACUCCAUCAGGUGAAAUUGGGCUCAGACAGCUCCAUUCAACCAAUGUAUUCUACUAUUGGUAGUCAUAGAACAAACACUUCAUACCCAACUUUAGAGACUAUGCUAUUGCUUUCUAUCCUCAAAGCAUCUAUUUGAUUUCCAAAUUCAAAUGUA